rnacentral:lncRNA from 1 species
AUCCCCAUACUGGUCCUUACUGGUGCCUAUUGGCCUUUACUGGUUCAUACUGGGCCUUACUGGUCAAGUAUGAGCAUCCCAUAGCCUCAGUACACCCAGUUCGGUACUACCAGUACCAGAAAUCCCCGUACUGGUCCUUACUGGUUCAUACUGGGCCUCACUGGUCCCUAUUGUCCAUUAUGGGUUUUUACUGGUCCUUACUGGUUCAGUACAAGCACUCCAUAGCCUCAGUACACCCAGUUCGGCGCCACAGCCCACAUACUGGUCCUUACUGGUUUAUACUGGUCCCUAUUGGCACUCACUGGUCCGUACUGGCCCUUACUGGUCCGUACUGGUCAAGUAUGGGCAUCCCAUAGCCUCAGUAGACCCGGUUCAGUACAACCAGUACCAGAGAUCCCCAUACUGGUCCCAGUACCACCAGAACGGGUGCCACAGACCCCUACUGGUCCCAGGACCACCAGUACUGGUGCCAGAGCUCCCGUACUGGUCCCAGUACCACCAGUAGAGGUGCCGGAGCUCCCGUACUGGUCCCAGUACCACCAGUACAGGUGCCGGGGCCCCCGUACUGGUCCCCGUACCACCAGUACUGGUGCCGGAGCUCCUGUACUGGUCCCAGUACCACCAGUAGAGGUGCCGGAGCUCCCGUACUGGUCCCAGUACCACCAGUACAGGUGCCGGAGC